rnacentral:rRNA from 1 species
AUUGAACGCUGGCGGCAGGCCUAACACAUGCAAGUCGAGCGGAGCGGCGGACGGGUGAGUAAUGUCUGGGGGACUGCCUGAUGGAGGGGGAUAACGUCCGGCAACGGGCGCUCAUACCGCAUACUAUCAGAUGAGCCUAGGUCGGGUUAGCUAGUUGGUGGGGUAAAGGCCUACCAAGGCGACGAUCCGUAUCUGGUCUGAGAGGAUGAUCAGGCACACUGGAACUGAGACACGGUCCAGACUCCUACGGGAGGCAGCAGGGGGGAAUAUUGGACAAUGGGCGAAAGCCUGAUCCAGCCAUGCCGCGUGUGUGAAGAAGGUCUUCGGGUUGUAAAGCACUUUCAGCGGGGAGGCGUUACCCGCAGAAGAAGCACCGGCUAACUCCGUGCCAGCAGCCGCGGUAAUUC